UUUCCUUUUUGCUGCUGUUUCAUCCCUUAUCCACCAGAUGGCGUCUACAGGCGGAGGUUUCUCUGGAGGGAUGGGCCUUGGUUCAGCGCACCGGUGUUUAAUCACCUCUUCAGUCAUGGAGCUUAAGAGGAGCGGACUACCAGUACUUCGUCGCUUGAGUGUUAGCCUAUAUGCUAUUCCUUCGUGACGCCAAGCGGCCUCCUUGAAGAAUCCUUCCUGGUUUGACUCACCUCGAGACACCACCUACCCACGGGUUGCCCGAGCCCCGUUUCCGUUCCUUCGGCCGGAUCUCAAAGCCUCUUCCGGAUUAUUCGGCGGAUUGUGGAUCCGCUCCUCGUCUGUCCUCCACCACAGAAAACACUGGCCCGCUCUCUGCCGCAGCCUCCUCCGAUCCUCCUGGAUGCCACUCGAACAUACUGAAAGCCAAGACCCGGUAUCCACCGGAGUGCCUCCAGGACUGUCAUCAUCAUUUUCCCAAUGUGCCGGCCUCCCCCAGAAGCCCUCCCCUGACAGUUCGUCGUUCUACCCACCGAACCUGUGUUUACAUUAAUAAACUAUAUUUUGCUGAUCUCUGUUCUCCAGUGGUGUUCUGCAUGUGGUUAAGAAAAUUAGACCUCACCAUGACACACCAUACCAUUUAUUUUUAAUGCGCGUCAAAUUGCACCAAAAGUUUCAUGCGUGCUCGUGGAGCUGAAGAGGCAGAAUAAACUUAUAGAAAACAUGCUCCUGUAACACCAGUAACUCUCUUUAACAUUAAGGCAGAAGUGGAAAUUAAAGGCGAAACAUAAUUUAUACUGAAGGUAAAGUUUA